ensembl:lncRNA
AUUAGGGGCAAUGCUCAGCAGGUGUGGGUCAUCUUUGCCCUUUGUGAUGUCUCAGUGGGCAGUUCAGAUGGCUUCACUGACCACUGUGAGGCUGGCCCUUAGCUGAGGUGCCUCUGUUUUCCAUGUGGCUCUCAACCUCCGAAGCUUCUCAUUACCUGCGGCCUCUCUCUACAGCUGGAUAGCCUGGACUUCUUUACAAGGCAGUUGGGUUCUGAGAAAUCAGAAGCUCCGGAUCUCUCAGGGCUUCCCAGGUGGCGCUAGUGGAGACAUGGAGAACAACUGAUCAACAUCUCCUCAUAAUAAUCCCCUGAACACCUGAAGACAGCUGUGAGCGCUUAAAGAUUUGCUGAGGCUAAUCUGAACACAGGGUGGUACUUCCCUGCCUUCCUGGAGUUGGUUGUGGCCGUGUAAAACUGGGGCAGAAGCUUCGAGAGUCUACACACAAUGAACCACACUCCUGGCCUACUACUGGGACGGUGACACCCACCCCCCGCCUCCCUCCUGUGAGGUAUAUAUUGAGGUGAAGUCUCCAUUAUUCCAGGAUUCUAUGUGACUGUGAGAAGAAUUGCUCCCCGGCCAACCUGCGUGUGACAUAUGAUAAAAGUCAAUGAAUAAAAGUAGAAGUGAUGGGUUCUGUGAAAUUAUUUGCUGGUAUUAAAUCAGAGUUCCAAGGAUAAGAACAUGUCUACUCCCUGUGUGGGGCAUCUGUUGGCUCUGUGGUAGCUUGGAAGGCAACCCAAAUAUUACUCUGAUCAAGACAUAUAUUUCCCCAAGUGAAAAGAACGUCUGAAACACCAAAGCUGGAGCCACUGGAUUAGCUUGGGAUUCAGGAAUUUACUGUGACAGAAAAUUAGGCCAAGUUGAAAAUUUUUUUGCAAGAAGACCAGAGAUUAAGGAAGUCUAUUUUCAAAAUACACUUGAAAAGCCUUAAGAGCAUGCCAAUGUAAGAAGUCAGCAAAUUGGUGAGAUUGAGGAUUAACAGCUAUGCACGAUGAUUGUUUGUAAUGCCCCUAAACUCAGAGGGUAUUUGCUUCUCUGACUCAUGUGGGUCAACAAGAGUGCAGUAUAGGAGUAAGGUGGGGGAAGGGGUGAUGGCAUGUAGUUGAU